UAUAAGCCUUGGUCAGGUACCAUAUUCGGAGUUUCUGGGAUUUCACUUCAAGCCAAAGUUAUGGUAAAACUGAGACAUGGCACCAAACCUUCUCUAAUACUCCACACGUGUGUCCUGAAAAGACUAAUCCCUCGACAGAACCAUGCACCAACUCUGGCGUCCUCUUCUGAAUUCCAACCUCCAAACUGGUCUCCUCAUUAAUUUCCACCAACAGGAAGAGGGAGCUUGCUUUUGCGCAAGUUCAGUGGCGGACGAAAGAUUUGUACAUAGUAUUUGGAGUUGUGCAGGGGCUUGGCACCCCCUUCGGUCUGCCCCUACCUAAGCUGUAACAUCUGGAUGGAAUUCUUCAUCAGAAGUUUCUCUCUGUAGCACCCAGUUUCCGUGAAAAAGAGAAGUCUUGUAAAAAUUGAGAAUGGAGCAAGAUAGAUUAUCCCAGAUUCACUAUGCCACCAGAAAAACUCGUAUCACGUUUACAAAAUUAUUUGAAAAGAACUCGCUUCGAUCAUAUGUUGUCAUGCUACUAGUUAUACAGAGAGGGGGAGAUUCGAGAACAGGAGAUGCAAUGUACAAAAAGAAGAGAUCAACAUACAAUACCAAAUUGAAAAUCAAUUCAUGGGAGGAUUAAGGAAAGUAAGAAUCAUCUAAUAUUGUGCCUUUUUGCACAGGUAACAGCAAUAACAAGCAUAUCAUCUGCUCUCAUGAUGCCCGCAAAAACAGCAGCUUGACCAACUUUCUACCAUUCAAUGUGGAAAGUGGGUUAUCCACUCAUUGACCUUAAAACAGAAGAUACCACAAUAUUGCCAAAUCUUAUCAAAGCAGAGCUCUUCUGCAUUCCCUG